rnacentral:sRNA from 1 species
UGCUCUUCUGAUCUGUCAGCCCCUCAACUGGGCACAGUCAGAGGCGGGCAGAGAACAAAACUUUGGUCCAAAAUUUGAAGGUAGGACACCCAUAAGCCUCAGAGCUUCUUCUCCAGCCCUGGCCUGGGCCCACCUGCAAGUUGGUCACUGGAAGGAAGGAGUGCAGGGGACAGAGAAGCUUAGAGUACACACAUAUAAUUGUACCACUGCUAUAAAAAGUUACUUAAAAACUCUAUCUCUUGCAUAUAAAUGGAAAAGACUCGGGUAUUUGGUCAAGUGGAAAGAUUGCUAGGCACAGGUGUCUGUGACCCCACGGAAUAGAAUACAAAGGUCACACAAGGCUCGGCAGCUGAGGACGGCCUGGGCCCUCUGGGUUGGCCAGGGACAUGGGAGAAUCAUGUCACUUGAUUAUAAGGGUGUAGGGGAGUGGCCCCAGCUCUUACACGGCAUUGGGGAGCC